rnacentral:pre_miRNA from 1 species
AGUGAAAUUGUUAGGUCAUAUGGUAGUUACAUGUUUAGUUUUUUAAGUGACUGCCAAACUGUUUCCCAGAGUGGUUGUACCAUUUUACAUUCCCACCAGCAAU